ACUCCUACGGGAGGCAGCAGUGGGGAAUAUUGCACAAUGGGCGCAAGCCUGAUGCAGCCAUGCCGCGUGUGUGAAGAAGGCCUUCGGGUUGUAAAGCACUUUCAGUCGUGAGGAAGGUAGUGUAGUUAAUAGCUGCAUUAUUUGACGUUAGCGACAGAAGAAGCACCGGCUAACUCCGUGCCAGCAGCCGCGGUAAUACGGAGGGUGCGAGCGUUAAUCGGAAUUACUGGGCGUAAAAGCGCAUGCAGGUGGUUUGUUAAGUCAGAUGUGAAAGCCCGGGGCUCAACCUCGGAAUUGCAUUUGAAACUGGCAGACUAGAGUACUGUAGAGGGGGGUAGAAUUUCAGGUGUAGCGGUGAAAUGCGUAGAGAUCUGAAGGAAUACCGGUGGCGAAGGCGGCCCCCUGGACAGAUACUGACACUCAGAUGCG
rnacentral:rRNA from 1 species